UACGGGGGGAGCAAGCGUUGUUCAGAUUUACUGGGCGUAAAGGGCGCGUAGGCGGCCACCGCAAGUCGACUGUGAAAUCUCCGGGCUUAACCCGGAAAGGUCAGCCGAUACUGCGGGGCUAGAGUGCAGAAGGGGCAACUGGAAUUCUCGGUGUAGCGGUGAAAUGCGUAGAUAUCGAGAGGAACACCUGCGGCGAAGGCGGGUUGCUGGGCUGACACUGACGCUGAUGUGCGAAAGCUAGGGGAGCGAACGGG
rnacentral:rRNA from 1 species